UACGUAGGCGGAAAAUUAAGUCAGUAGUGAAAUCCUGCAGCUUAACUGUAGAACUGUUAUUGAUACUGGUUUUCAUGAAUAUAGUUGAGGUAAGCGGAAUGUGUAAUGUAGCGGUGAAAUGCUUAGAUAUUACACAGAACACCGAUUGCGAAGGCAGCUUACUAAGCUAUGAUUGACGCUGAGGUACGAAAGCGUGGGGAGCGAACAGGAUUAGAUACCCUGGUAGUCC
rnacentral:rRNA from 1 species